AAGAUGGCGGAGGAGUAGGAGACCUGGAUUUCAUCUGGUCUCAGGAAUUCAGCUGGAUAGGGAUCAAACCAUUCUGAACACCUACAAACUCAAUAGGAGAUCAAAGAAAAGAAUAGCAGCAACUCUCUGAACAGAAAAGCGACCACUUUCUGGAAGUUGUACAAGAACGCUUGAACUGGAUAUUGUGGCUGCAAACGUUCACUCUCUGCACUGAUCACCUGGAGAUCUGUUUUCAACUCUCUGAAGAUUCCCAAAGUCUUAAGAGAGUCUCCUCCUCAUCUCCACCUCAUCCCUUCUCUGUCCUGGUGAAUUAUUGUUCAUUCUGCCUGGGCAUCAUCAAAUUGAGAAGACUGGAGGGAAGAAUGUCUAGACAGAGGGCUCAGGAAGCCAAUGUCUAUGCUGCCAUGUUGAAACAUCACAUCAACUGCAUGCCAGGCACUGUGUUAUAACACAGUCACACCCCUUCCUCAAUGUCCCCAAGCGGCAGGCUGACACCCAAGAGGAUAUAUAAGGUAAAAUAACAGUUGGAAUUAUGAUAGAACAUGAAACCAAUCAGUCAAUGGAAGCAACUAUGUGAAUUGUAGAAUAUA